UACGGGGGGGGCAAGCGUUGUUCGGAAUUACUGGGCGUAAAGGGCUCGUAGGCGGCCAACUAAGUCGGAUGUGAAAUCCCCAGGCUUAACCUGGGAACUGCAUCCGAUACUGGAUGGCUUGAAUUCGGGAGAGGGAUGCAGAAUUCCAGGUGUAGCGGUGAAAUGCGUAGAUAUCUGGAGGAAUACCGGUGGCGAAGGCGGCAUCCUGGACCAUUACUGACGCUGAGGCGCGAAAGCUAGGGGAGCAAACGGG
rnacentral:rRNA from 1 species